CCUCGUGAUCAUACCUCGGGGGGCAACACCCGUUCCCAUUUCGAACACGGCCGUUAAGCCUUCGGGGGCCGAUGGUACUAUUCCUGCAAUGGAAUGGGAGAGUUGGUCGUUGCGAGGC
rnacentral:rRNA from 1 species